rnacentral:tRNA from 1 species
GCCGGGGUGGCGAAAUUGGUAGACGCAGGGGAUUCAAAAUCCCCCGACUUCGGUCAUAUGGGUUCGAGUCCCAUCCCCGGCACCA